GAUGAACGCUGGCGGCGUGCCUAAUACAUGCAAGUCGAACGAAAGGACGAGAAGCUUGCUUCUCUCAUGUUAGCGGCGGGCGGGUGAGUAACGCGUGUAUAACCUACCUAUAAUACGGGGAUAAUUACGGGAAACCGGCGAUAAUACCGGAGAAUCUUUUGAACCGCAUGGGUCAAAGGAGAGAGACGGUCUUGGUGUCACUUAUAGAGGGAUACGGGCUGGAUUAGCUGGUUGUUAAGGUAACGGCUUACCAAGGCAACGAUGCAUGGCCGACCUGAGAGGGUGAUAGGCGACACUGGAACGGAGACACGGUCAUGGCGCCUACGGGAGGCAGCAGUCGCGAAUGUGACGCAACGGGCGAAAGCCUGACGCAGCAACGCCGCGUGAGUGAUGAAGGCCCUCGGAUCGUAAAGCUCUGUUUUUAGGGAAGAACAGAUGUGGAAGGAACCGUGGCCAGCUUGACGGUACCUAAUCAAAAAGCACCGGCUAACUACGUG
rnacentral:rRNA from 1 species